rnacentral:rRNA from 1 species
UACAGAGGGUGCAAGCGUUGUUCGGAAUUACUGGGCGUAAAGCGCGCGCAGGCGGCUUUUUAAGUCAGGGGUGAAAUCCCGGGGCUUAAGUCAGGAAUUGCCUUGGGUACUGGAAGGCUGGAGGACGGGAGAGGUGAGUGGAAUUCCCGGUGUAGAGGUGAAAUUCGUAGAUAUCGGGAGGAACACCAGUGGCGAAGGCGGCUCACUGGACUGUAUCUGACGCUCAGGCGCGAAAGCGUGGGGAGCAAACAGG